rnacentral:rRNA from 1 species
CUCGGGAGAGGGCAGAGGUCGGUUCGUUUCGGGAGAGCGCAGUCUGCGGCGCACCGGAAAGAAGGGAGUGGGGGGUACCGCGUCGGGAUCAAGCAGGAGCGCUGUGGAGGUGAGGUAGCGAUUGGAGGGGGAGGGGGAGGGGACGAUAUGAAGAGGCCGCGGGAGGAGCGGACACCAGGCGCGCCUGGAGUGGCGGCCACCGGAGAGGAUCCUGGAGUGGNNNNNNUCCGGAUACCAUUCCCGUUUAACUCGACGUUCACCGGUAAUAGUCUUACCCACUUUCAUUGCUCUUAUAGGUCAAAAGGACCCCUUUCUUCUCUCGUUUUCCACCACGGUUCUACCUAUGUGUCAAGAUACCAAGGAAGUGUAAACUGUUACACUUCAUGAGUGACAUACUGACACACAUAGAAAAAUUUUUACCACUUAGACUUGGUAUGUAACCUUUCUAUCAUUUCUAUACCGUCGUUUUACUUCGAUUCUUUCAUUUCUAAGAAACCAAAAAGUGGGGCCUACUCUAGUCUUUAAUAAAUUCUCCGAGGCACCGCCUCUUACUCUAUAAAGAACGAAGACCACUACCGUGACCGGAACGGCUAUAGUUGGGUGACCUUAGAUAACGACCAUUUACGUGACAACAAACGUAAAGUUUCCUACUUUCCUUAGCGGUCGGAUGGGGUUUCCUUGUUUGCCAGCGACUAAUAUAGAAGAUAUCCAAAAAACUACAACCUUUGACGUGUGAAAGACUCGUUCAUGGACUCUUUUAACGUCCCGACCUUCAGUUGCACGACGAAUUAGGAUUUCUACUCGUUCAAUAUACAAUGGGCCUAGUCCUACGCGUUCCGUACCUAGUCUUCCACCCACGUCCAGACCAGCGUGGGGAAGGCGUUAGUCGCCGAUUCUACCUCCUACUUUAAGGACAACGUGGGGAAGGCGUUAGUCGACGAUUCUACCUCCUACUUUAAGGACAACGACGUCAAGGGGAAAGGGUCAGUCACCGGUAAAGAGAAGGGGGUAGUCAGUUUCUCCACCUAUUUCGAGUCCAACGACGACAAGGAGAAGGGGAUCGUCAACUCCUCCUACAAGGGUUUGGGUGUGUUUUUCAAAAGUUUGCAUGUGUCUCAUGUGUCUUUCAAGAGAGACUAUUCUACGGAAGUUUCUUUAACUUUAAUAGAGUUCUAGAAUGUUGCUUCUUAUACGGAAGUUUCUUCAACUUUGAUAGAGUUCUAGAAUGUUGCGUUUCAUACCGGGGUCAAGGACUGCACUUUCAAGCGAGACAAGGAAACCGCGUUGAUGGUUGUUCCGUCCGACUGUCUUCGUUUACCAAGUUUGGUGUCGGGACCGUACUUUUUGAUCGUGUUCGACUAUUCCUCCCCUCCGACCACAUAUAAGUCUUAGAACUGUAUGCCAAACCUCGAAGACUUUAUCACCUUGAAUAAGCACUCCGUGAUGUUGAUAGAACAUGACGAUUCGGAUAAUUGGUGGGCUGGAUGCUACUAGGAUUGUUACCUUUUCGUAUACAACAUAAGUUAAGGUCUUUAUAACGACUACUUCGACAAUACUUUUAGUUAAGUCCGAACCAACACCCACCUUCUGGGGAAAUGACGUCGUUUCCCAAUGAAUUCCAGGGUUUUGGUCGAAGUCCUCGAGACCAACCCGUGAAUUGGUAGUCAUUAGUCUUUUACUUGGGUUCUGUUGCUCUUCUCGUCUUCUUCCGACACAGCUGUAGUGUAACAAGAGUUGGGUUGUGUUAUCUUAUACUGGACCGGAACCUGACCUACGAACAGGCUCUUUUCGUUCGUUACUUCAAGUCAUAUGAAGUAUUCUCCGUGCGCCCACUCUCCUUCAGCAAACGAGAUUCUACCGCGUCAUUCAUCGAAGAAACCUCAGCGAAUCGGUUUUACCUUACCCUUGGCCGGUCUACCUCAACAGUUGAUAGUAGGGAACCUCGAACCACACAACAAGUGGGCUUCGUUGUGAAGUUCAAAAACAGUGACCGUUGGAAAUAUACACGACUACCAAAUACAAACCGAAGCUGACUAACUUAAGACUCCGCCCUGAUUGACGUUGCAUCCUACAAGAAAGAAAUUCCUCCCUCUACAUAUCCCCACCCUUAAUACUCCUUGUAAUCGAAGUCCUUAGUCUCAUCACCCUUUAAAGAGUACUGUGCAGAAGUCCUCAGUCUCAUCACGGCAUCUUCGUUCAUCGGGAAACGUCGUUCGGCCUCCGCCAAAAUCGAAUUGUCAUUCGGUCGGUCGCAUCAUUGCCACGGGUAGACGACGACGCACAAAAACCUGUCGUUUAAUACUUGAUGUCAUACAUCAUACAAGGCUUUCAAGUCCCGAACCGAUAGAAAAGACGAUUUACAUGGCGUAAGAACUUACCGGGGUGAACUCAGACGAUGGUCAACACAAGCUACUACUAAGUAGACACAAU